GCGCAAUCUCAAAGGCCUGAUUCCGCAUCGCCGCGUGAGGGAAGAAGGCCUUCGGGUCGUAAACCUCUGUCGGAGGGGACGAAGGACUGACGGUACCCUCCAAGGAAGCCUCGGGUAACCACGUGCCCACACCGCGGUAAUAACGUGCCAGCAGCCGCGG
rnacentral:rRNA from 1 species